GACGAACGCUUGCGGCGUGCUUAACACAUUCAAGUCGAACGUAAUUUCCCUGCUUUUGUGGGGUGCUCGAGUGGCGAACGGGUGAGUAACACGUGAGUAACCUGCCCUUGACUUUGGGAUAACUUCAGGAAACUCGGUCUAAUACCGGAUAGGAGCUCCUGCUGCAUGGUGGGGGUUGGAAAGUUUCGGCGGUUGGGGAUGGACUCGCGGCUUAUCAUCUUGUUGGUGGGGUAGUGGCUUACCAAGGCUUUGACGGGUCGCCGGCCUGAGAGGGUGACCGGCCACAUUGGGACUGAGAUACGGCCCAGACUGCUACGGGAGGCAGAAGUGGGGAAUAUUGCACAAUGGGCGGAAGACUGAUGCAGCAACGCCGCGUGCGGGAUGAAGGCCUUCGGGUUGUAAACCGCUUUCGCCUGUGACGAAGCGUGAGUGACGGUAAUGGGUAAAGAAGCACCGGCUAACUACGUG
rnacentral:rRNA from 1 species